rnacentral:lncRNA from 1 species
GGUUUCCCAAUACCUGCAUUAGACUUGGGCAGGAAAGGAAUUCAAUUUGGGAAACCAAUAGUGCCAGGCACUUUACUUGUAUUAUCUCUAAUACCCAUAACAAUUCUGAAGGGUAGGUAAAUAUUUAUUAUCCUUAUAUAACUAUCAAACUAAAUAACAAAGAAAAAUUCUCCAAAAAUUAAGUUUAUUGGAGAAUAGCGUUGCAAUGGGAACAUAUCACCAGAGUGAACUAUGUGUGUAUUCACAGAGGCUGAGGCAAGAGGGAGUUUUUAAAUUCAAAAUGAGGGUUAUUACAUAAGUUGUUUUGAACUAGUUAUCCUCAGAUACAUAGAUCAAUAACAAGGGGUGUGUCAGUUCAAGGUUGAACAGGCAGUUGUUGGACAGACACCCUUGUGGAAGUAUUUUCUGCAUAAGGUUUCACUGGCCAUUGUGCCAGGUUAUAAAUCUGUCCGAGUUUUUUGUGAUAGCUCUUGUUAUCAGGCAAAUGUGCAUAGAUCCCUUUCUUCACGACUUCCUUCCUUUGUUUAUUUAUUUAUUUUUAAUUUUUUUAGUUGUUGAUAGGCAU